AACGUACGCUGGCGGCACGCCUAAUACAUGCAAGUCGAACGAAGUAGCAAUACUUAGUGGCAGACGGGUGAGUAACAUGUAGGUAUCUUCCCAUUGGUGAGGAAUAACACGAGGAAACUUGUGCUAAUACCUCAUAAGUCUUUACGGAGAAAGCUUUAUGCGCCGAUGGAUGAGCCUGCACUUGAUUAGUUUGUUGGUAGGGUAAUGGCCUACCAAGACAAUGAUCAAUAGCUGAUUUGAGAGGAUGAUCAGCCACAUUGGGACUGAGACACGGCCCAAACUCCUACGGGAGGCAGCAGUAGGGAAUCUUGCACAAUGGGGGAAACCCUGAUGCAGCGAUGCCGCGUGAGUGAAGAAGGCCUUUGGGUUGUAAAGCUCUUUCGUCGGGGAAGAAAAUGACUGUACCCGAAUAAGAAGGUCCGGCUAACUUCGUGCCAGCAGCCGCGGUAAUACGAAGGGACCUAGCGUAGUUCGGAAUUACUGGGCUUAAAGAGUUCGUAGGUGGUUAAAAAAGUUGGUGGUGAAAUCCCAGAGCUUAACUCUGGAACUGCCAUCAAAACUUUUUAGCUAGAGUAUGAUAGAGGAAAGCAGAAUUUCUAGUGUAGAGGUGAAAUUCGUAGAUAUUAGAAAGAAUACCAAUUGCGAAGGCAGCUUUCUGGAUCAUUACUGACACUGAGGAACGAAAGCAUGGGUAGCGAAGAGGAUUAGAUACCCUCGUAGUCCAUGCCGUAAACGAUGUGUGUUAGACGUUGGAAAUUUAUUUUCUGUGUCGCAGCGAAAGCAAUAAACACACCGCCUGGGGAGUACGACCGCAAGGUUAAAACUCAAAUGAAUUGACGGGGACCCGCACAAGUAGUGGAGCAUGUGGUUUAAUUCGAAGAUACGCGCAGAACCUUACCAACACUUGACAUGUUCGUCGCGACUUUAAGAGAUUAAAGUUUUCGGUUCGGCCGGACGAAACACAGGUGCUGCAUGGCUGUCGUCAGCUCGUGUCGUGAGAUGUUGGGUUAAGUCCCGCAACGAGCGCAACCCUCACUUUUAGUUGCCAUCAUUUAGUUGGGCACUCUGAAAGAACUGCCAGUGAUAAGCUGGAGGAAGGUGGGGAUGACGUCAAGUCCUCAUGGCCCUUACGUGUUGGGCUACACACGUGCUACAAUGGCAUUUACAAUAGGAAGCAAGACGGCGACGUUAAGCAAAUCCUAAAAAAAUGCCUCAGUUCGGAUUGUACUCUGCAACUCGAGUACAUGAAGCUGGAAUUACUAGUAAUCGCGGAUCAGCGCGCCGCGGUGAAUACGUUCCCGGGUCUUGUACACACCGCCCGUCACACCAUGGGAGUUGGUUCUACCUUAAGGCAAAGUUUAAUACCUUUGACCACGGUAUAGUCAGCGACUGGGGUG
rnacentral:rRNA from 1 species